UAGGUGAACCUGCGGAAGGAUCAUUAUCAAAUCCUACCCCAUUGCCUCUUGUGGGUGAUGGUCAAAACACCGUGCACUGGCGACUGGAGAUGGGAGAAAUUCUCCACUCGGUUGGUUGAAAGGAGGUGUGCACCCGGUGUUGAAUCAGGUGAUGCACUUAAAUCAACAGGAAUCAAUUUUUCAACCGCCUGCUGGGCCUCCAACCGAGUGCUCCCAUCUUUGGUUUUUUAUUUUGAACUUUUAUGAACUUGUAUCAUGCUUUGGUGUACCACUGUGUGCAUUAAAAGUAAUUGACAACUUCUGACGGUGGAUCUCUUGGCUCGUGCAUCGAUGAAGAACGCAGCAAGCUGCGAUACCUAGUGUGAAUUGCAGAAUUCAGUGAAUCAUCGAGUCUUUGAACGCAAAUGGCGCUCCCGGGGUCUCCUCGGGAGCAGGUCUGUCCGAGCGUCUGCCAACCGAAUACGUUGACACCAUGUUGGUGGCAAGAGUGAGGAGCUGCGGAUGCAACAUUUGGUGACACCGCACUCCUUGAAAUGUUACGGUCUGUGCAAGUCCUCAUUGUGACUAGUCAGUCUCUCACAAGGCGACAGUUGUCACAACGGCAUAACGAGUUGUUUCGCUGUCCCUUGUAGAGCCUGCAACUUGUCCCUGUGGG
rnacentral:misc_RNA from 1 species